UACGAAGGGGGCUAGCGUUGCUCGGAAUCACUGGGCGGAAAGCGCACGUAGGCGGAUUGUUAAGUCAGGGGUGAAAUCCUGGAGCUCAACUCCAGAACUGCCUUUGAUACUGGCGAUCUUGAGUCCGGGAGAGGUGAGUGGAACUGCGAGUGUAGAGGUGAAAUUCGUAGAUAUUCGCAAGAACACCAGUGGCGAAGGCGGCUCACUGGCCCGGUACUGACGCUGAGGUGCGAAAGCGUGGGGAGCAAACAGG
rnacentral:rRNA from 1 species